rnacentral:lncRNA from 1 species
CAGGGGACCAUCUCCUCUGCCCAACCCUGAGCAGAAUGUUCAAAGAUGAUUUUGAAUGGAUGGCUGAGAUACCGGAACAAAAGUGAAUUAUGAGAUCUGUCUCAACAAAGGUUUUCAUAGAACUUUAUUUAUGACUGGGCGUUCUGGAAAGAACUCGGGACAUGUCCUGGGUUUUGAUUAACCCUGCUGCUCUUAGCUGUCGGCAACUCCGCGUGGCCCUGCAGCUAGCAUAUCCGCUGUAAAUAAGUAUUUGCCCAACUAGGCUACGUGGGAGGAUAUUGAGAAAAUGAAGGCAGCCCCUUUUUGUAUCCCCGAUCAUGUUGGGAAGAUAAAAAAUGCAAGGCAGGACAGCCUGGCAGCACCUGCCAAGGGAGACAUAUGGAUAUGGUUGGCCAGCCCCACCAGGCCCAGUAGAAAACACCCAGAGGUUUGUGCUCCAAAAUACAAUCAAACCCUCCCAAUUAUUCUCUUGUCUCAAGCCCCCUUUCAACACAAAGUGAAUAGUUGGCUUGCAGAAUUAUUUUCAAACAUAUCCACCCACAUCCAUGUGGAGGAGGGUUUAGGCUUCUCCCCUGCAGGAAUUAAGUUUUAUUUCAACUGAGGACAUCUAGCCUCACUGAUUAGACUGUGGCCUCUGAGGACCCUCUCAGUAGUCCAGCUCCCCUCCUGCCUCCUCCCCAUCUUCAGAUGUCUCCAGGCACUAUCAUUCAUCUCUAUGUUUCCCUCAGUCCCUGGCCUUUGGUGCCAUUAAUGUCAAUUCCAGGAAAUACAUGGCAAAGAAAAAAAUCUAAUCUAUCCCUGUAUUAUCUAAGUACAGCUCAAGCUGAUGACCAGCUAAUGGAGACAACACAGAGGAAGAAGUUGGAGAUGUCCAUCGAUGUCUUUUUUCCCCUGAUCGUCAUGUUCUUUUUAAAUUUUAUUAAUAAAUUUAUUU